rnacentral:lncRNA from 1 species
GCAUACUUAAAAAUUAAAUACAUAUAUGUAUUUAAGUAUCGAUCCCUUUUAUAAUUUAUCAAAGAAAGAGAGAAAAAGAAAAAGAGUGAUGGUAUAAAAUGGUCCUUGGAAUUUGGGACUUGUGUUCUUGCUUGCUGUGCUUCUCAUGGUAUCAUGCUCUAAUGAUUGUGCUCUUGCGUCUCCACAAGAGUUACGCCCAUCAUCAGGUUAGUCUUGACUCUUGACACAUGUAUAAUGAUUUUGAUUUUCAUUGACGGAGUUCAAAAAAUCAGUGAAAAAAUAUGCGCCAAUAUAGUUCUCCCAAAAAACCAAUAAAUCCAUCAAUUUUCUUUGGGUUUUUGUUAAAAGGUUUUCUAAUUAAAAUGCAAUGAACGUAAAUUAAAAGACUACUACUUUUAUAGCCAUAGAGAUAACGAAAGUAGUUUGAAAGAGACGAAUAAGCAUACAAAUAGUUUGACUCUGACAUAAAAAAAUUGAAAAAAUAGAGGGAAGAUCUAAAAAACGAAACUCAUUGUGAUCCUUAAUAUUGUACUAAAAGGAGCAACAAAAGAAUUUUCUUUAGUUUUUAUUGAGUUAAUUUAACUCUAGUUUUUGUUUGAUAUCAGUUAAAAAAAUCGUUUAUUUUUUUCUUUUUUGGUAUAAUUCCAGACCGCAUAAAUGGUGAGUAUUAUGGCAUCAGAGCCUCGACUCAUGUUAUGAUUGAGAGAAUCAUUGUUUAUGAAUGAUUGUUGUGAAUGUUCUGGAAAACGAUCUCUUAAUCAUGUCAAUUUCAAAUCCAAAUCCUCCAACCAUCGAUUCUCCGUUUGCAAUUUCCACUUUACCAAAAUCAAAAAGCCGUUCUUCCUCAUCUAGUAUCAAUUCUCUCUACGAAAUUGAAUACGUCCCUGGAGAUCAACUACCCGAAACCACACUCCCUCUUGUUAAUCCAUAUGAAUACUUUGCCAAAAAGCCUAGUGCUUUCUCGGUUAAAGGUGUUCGAGAACUCAUCAAGCCAUCUUCCAAUCGAAAAGUCAUGGAAUAUGUCCAGUCCAGCAAAUUCUCAUCCUGUCAAGUCCCAGCAACCGAAGAAGAACAAUUCAUCUCGCUCAACAUACCGGAGAACCUUCGUAGGUUAUGGCAACAACAAGGAUAUACUCACCUACACUUUGGUGUAGUCCGGAUCGGUUUGACCUUACAUGCUCGAAAAGGUCUACUUGUUAUAGCAAGAAUCGCCUUGGUCGAUUCAAGACUGAAAUCCUACCAACAAGCUUGCAUCGGAACAGUCCAAACAACAUUAAACGCCGGAACAGUAUUCGUGACACUGUUUCUAAACUUUAAUGUCUCGCUACAAGAUCCAAAUCUUCUGAAGACACUCAAGGUCCAACUUCAGCUCACCGGAGCUCCUAUGCAAGAGAAAAGUGUCGUGGCGACCCUUCAUCAUCAGAUAGUCUACCGAAUCCAAGAUCAUGCCUUAGAUCUUGUACUACCCUCUUCUGAUGAAGCACUUUACCUAGAAGUCACUUCAGCAUCUCAAGCACCAAACUCCAUCCAGAUUCCUCGUCAAAUAUCUCGCGAAGAGCUGCUCCGCCGACUACCAGAAUCAUGGAUCACCAGCUACGAGAAGCUGCAUCAAGCGGUUCAAACACAAAUUCAAUCCUCUGAAGUCAGCUUUCAUUCACGAAAUGAUGGUACAACCGAAAUCAAGUUCGAAAAACCAAGAUCAUCCUCAUUCCGCAAACAACUGUUCACUCAUUUUGCUAUCCAAAUUGACGAAAGGGAAUUCUAUAGUCCAGCAAAAGAACAAAAUCCUAAACCAAUCUCUUUUGGACAAAACGGAUCGGUACUAUAUCCUUUCAAAGAUGAAGAUGGACAUCAAUAUUUCGAUAUCUGUUCCUGCUCAGCAUGUGAAGAAGCCAAAUACGAAUCUGAUGACGAGAUUCGCACAAGGAGAAGAAAGAAAAAGGAUCCACUCUACAAAAGAUAUCUAGAAGGAGAUCCCACCGUCGGUCCUCUCGGUGAAGGUAACGGGCGAUACGACUUUAUAGUCCAAUAUUCGGAAAAGAAAGAUGAAAAUCAAAUCAUGAUGAUCAACACCGAAGACUUCCCUCCUUCAAGCGACUUUACCAAGGACAACAUCGCACACAGCCCAAAGAUACUCACUCGAGCAAUCAACUCUUCUGGACCAGAUCAACUAAGCCAAGGAGAAAAGGUCCUCAACUGGCAAACUGAGAAUGCCAUCGCUCAAAAUCAACUCCUCAAAACAAUAAAUCACAAGGUUGAUCAGCUGAUGGAAAAUUACAUCAAAAGGCAAACUAGCCUUCAGAGCUCAAUAACAGAGAUCCAUGGCCGGCUUAACAAUCUUCAUCAAGAAGUGAUGGCUAUGGCACAAAAUAUGAUGGUCAAUACAGCACAAUUCCGUCAUAAAGAAGCAGAGACAGCCAGCCUCAAAGCCCAGCUAAAAGAUCUUCAAAGAAGCCUCGAGAGUAUGAUUUACAAUCAGAAUCCUACGAGUUCUUAUUCCAAUCCUUUUGGUAGAAUGCCUAUGUAUCAGGGCACCUACUCCCCAGGAUUUCUCUCCGGCUAUACGAAUCAAAGACCAAAAACACCAGCCCCCGGAUUCCUAUCAUCUGACGAAGCCUUUACGUCAAGAUAUGGCAUGACCUCAGCUUGCAAGCCAAAAGUGUCAAAAUCAAAACCAAGACGACAGAAGGAUUCCGAGUUUAUGGUCAAUCCUACCAAACGACCAACACUUACUUCUUCGUCAAGCCAUGAAUCAGUGGAAGAUUCAAAAAGAGAAGGAAAAGAAAUUGGUAUAAUUAAAUACUCUAUGGCUAGUCUGUUGGAUACUAUUGGACAGACUUCUACUGCUCAAACAGCCACGGAGAUGCCGCAAACACAGCCUUCUCAACAAAUUGCAACACCAAUUGCAAAUAUCGGUCAUUAUUCGGAGACUAAUUCUAACAGUUCCGAAUCAGCUUCGGAUGAGGAAUCUCUCCCAAACCAAUUUGCCAUAGGCGACGAAAGAGGCGAACCAUCAACUCCAAAACGAGAACCUGAUAUACAUGAAAUCUAUUCAAGCGAUGAAGAUAUGGAGUACAGGCCUCCCAGGCAGCAAGAAAUACCAACAAGACCAUUUGCCUCUAAAGUCAUGGUCUUCACGUUUGAUGACAUUCCUUUCGAAAAAUGGAAUGAUCGUCUCGAUGAAUUUCAUGCAUGGAUGAAUUCUGAAGCAAUCACGUCUCCCUUAGAGCUUGUAAUUCAGCAGUUUACGGCGCGACUAUCUGGAGCACUCAAAGAAUGGUGGAAUUCACUUGGUGAAUACAGACAGCAGCAAGUCUAUCAAACAACAAUACCGCUACUUCUUGGAGAAAUUCAUAGAGAAUUUAUCGGUACACCUACACAUUUGAAAGAACAGCUUCAAGAAGAGUUCUUUACUGCGAAAUGCUGCUCAUUGAAGAAAAGAGACCUAGCUAAGCAUUUUGAGCGACAGACGCGACGUUAUUACGCUCUUAAUGGUCUCAACAAUCCAAGCCUUAAGCAGGUACAUCUCUCUUCGCUUGAUGACUACCUCAGUCAACAAACGAAGCUAUACAUAAGAGAUCAAGGCGAGACAGUGGAAGAUAUUUCCAUUGGCCAAAUACAGCAAUAUGUCUUCCGAACACUAGACAAACUCUGCAAGCAAAAGGAGUUUUGGAUGGAAUUCAUGGAUAAAUCAAAGCAACUAUCCAGGAUCUGUGCAAGACCAGAUCUAUCCAUCAAAUGUUUAAAAUCCAAGAAGACAUGUUCGUGUGAUGAUCGUAGCAAAUCACGGAGAUUCAGAAAAGCGUCUCACAAGCGUUUCAACAAAUUCAGACGCAAGCGAUUUUUCAGAAAGAAAAGAAGCUUCAAGAAAACAACGAAGUGUUUCCUAUGUCGCAAAGAAGGUCACUUUGCAAAAAACUGCCCAAACAAGUCGAAGAAAAAGAAACAGUACUUAAUCAGCUCAAUCUCAAAGAUCGCACCAGACCUCGAUUUCGACAACAAUGAUCUAGAAUCAGUACUAUCCUAUGAUAGUGAUGAACAAGAUGCCAUAUGUGGCUACUCGGAUUAUGACGCGAUGAAUAUCGAUGAAAUUGGAUCUUGUAGCGAGACAUUAAAGUUUGGAAACAGUGUCACGAAUACUGUUCCGGCUCUGAUACCAUUAAGAUAAGUACUUUAGUGGUCGAUCUCGAACUCGAUGAUAUGUUUGUCGCAGCAUCCAUAGUAUUCUCCUGGGCACUCAUAUUCUGGUGUAGGCUCUUCGUAGUCAGUCUGUGACUCUUCAUUGAUUUCAAUGUUGAACAUUUUUCCAAUUUCAUCGAUAUUAAUCGCGUCAUCCGGUAGCUGAGCGUCCUGGAAAUAUUCUGGUGGACAGUCUUGGGACAGUGGUUCCUUCUCCUUCUUGAUCUCCUUAGUAACUGGAAUGUCUUCUAUGUUUUGUUUAGACAUGGAAAACAUAACGUCUUCGUCUAGACUCAUCUGGUAAUCGAUCGGAUAGUACGACCAAUUUGGAAUGAAAGGAAUUGGGAAGGUCUGUCUGGCAUUGUUGAGACGGAAUGCAUGUGUUUGAAAGUCUUCGUAGGCUUUAACGUCGCUGAGGUUGAAAUCUGGACGAACUCCUCUCUGAUAGUCAUUGUGAUGGACAAGAGUGGGUAAUGCAUGAAUUUUGCUGGAUUUAGAGUUGAUCUGAACAGGAAGAUGGAAGAAGUAGAUCGUGUGAGGAUUGAAGAACGGAUUGAGACCUCCUUUCUUUAGUUUCUUGAAUGGUAGGCUUGUUGCUUUUGCCGAUUUUCUUAGUUUUCCGCUCCAAACAAUCAGUGGUGCGAACCAUGCUAAGAAUGUGGAGAAGCAAUCUCUUCGGUUUUGUACAGCAUUGACGUACUGGUAAAGCCAUUGGAUAUCAAAGGUGAUUCUGAUGGUGUAGACUGAGCAGAGGUACUAGAGGAAACAUAGAACUUCUUCCGGCAUUGCUGUAUUCUCGAUCCUGUAGAGAUGUGCGAACGGGUGAUCAGGGUGAAUACCCAUUGGUGCAAUGAAGUGGCAGUUGAUUCCGUAUUUGGACAGGAUGAUGGACUGGUAUUUGAAAGUCCUGUGUUGAAGAUGCUCAUCCAGAGUCCUCUUGUCUACGAGCUGGUGAGCGUCAAGAGGCAUGUUUGCGUCGAAGUCAUAGUAUUGAUUUUCCGAACUUGAGGAAGCUGAGGCGUUUGCCAUCAUAUGAACUUCUUUAGGAGGGUUUCUACUGAGCAUGUCAGCAAGAGUGUUCUUCGCAUCCUUUAUAUAGAAGGAUUCGAAGUCGUACUUCGAAAACCAUUCGCUCCAGCGCAAUAAUUGUUGAUGUGGGACCAUCUUCUGCUUGAAUUGUAACAUCUUUGGAAAAGAAGACAUAUCCAUUUCCAUGCGAAAUUUAUGUCCUACCAGAUGAAACUCGAAUUUCUCGAUAGCCUUUAUGACCGCUAGGAUUUCUUUGAAUGUAGAGUGAUAAUGCAUCUCAGAAUCUUUAAAGCGUCCGCUCUUGUAUCCACAGAUUUGACGUUUACCAUUGAUUUCUUUGAAUAAAAUGGCUCCCCAAUAUUUGUCACUUGCGUCAGUCUGCAAUAUUCGUAGGCCUGUAGAGGGAAUCUUUAAAGGUGAUAGCUUCUGUAUCUCCUUUUUUAGGCUUUUGACUGCUUCGGUUUGUUUGGUAGCCCACUGGAGUGGUCUAGUCAUUUGCGAAAGUUGCGGAAUAAAGUCGCUGAUGUAAUUAAUUACUCCAAGGAAUUGUUGGAUUUGUCUCCGCGUGAGAUUUUCGUCGGGAAAAUCGAGGAGUGCUGUAGCUAAAUGGGCUUGCAGUGUGAAUUUUCCUUCUGUGAUUUGCAUUCCAAGGAAGUCGAUGUUGGGCUGGGCUAUCGUCAUCUUUCGGGCCGAGAGCAUAAUUCUAUAUUCUUCAACUAUGCCUUGAAAUUGUCGGAGAGACCGAAUAUGCUCUUCUUCGCUUGUUGAGAAUAACAGAAUAUCGUCGAUGUAUAUUAAAGCCGUGUGGAGAAGAGGCUUAAAUAUACGAAGCAUCACUUGCUGAAAUAGCGAUGGCGCUGUCUUUAAUCCGAAAGGUAGAACAUUCCAUUGGAGAUGUCUGUUGGGUAGGCAAAAAGCUGUUUUGUAUCUUUCAUCAGGAUGAACACCAAGUUACCAGAAACCAGACUUUAAAUCAAACUUGGAAAAUAUGGUGGCUCCUUGUAGGUGUUGAAGGAGUGCCUUCUUGUUUGGUAGAGGAAACUUGACGUCUUGUAGAUAUCGGUUCAGUGGUUUGUAAUCAAUUACCAGUCUGAUUUUUCCUCUUGCUUGUUCUGCCUGGUUGUUCACAUAGAAUGCUUUACAUGCCCAAGGUGAAUUUGUUGAUGAGACAACUCCUUGUUUCACUAGUUGGUCACAUUUUUCAUUUGCUUGUGUCAAUAAUGUUGGUGGCAUGCCUGCGUGACUUGCUUUUGUCGGAGUGGUAUGGACAUUCUCCUUGAAAGGUAGAGAGACGAAGAAUUCUGAAUUCAGCCAUAGCGGUUUGUCACAUUUUUGAAGGAAGUCUGUGUGAGAGUCUGCACAUGAGACUAUUGUGAUCUCUUCUUUGAUUUUCUCGAAAUCUUGAGAUAUGACUCAUUCGACCGUGAAUAGACGUGGGAUUGUUGUAAAAGCUUUGUAGAAAGCCUUCCAUCUCAUUCCUCGUGUCUCAAUAGAUAUAUCAAAAUUCUUCUUAAAAGUGUGAUAGGAAUCCCAUCCUAAUAUCAAAUCUUUUCCUGGUGCUGAGGAUCCAAGCACUUCUGUCGUAAUCUGACAGCCUGGGAAAAGUUCGAUCGUCACCGGUUUGGAUUUGAGAUUGACCGUCAAUGAACCCGAGUUUGCUAAUCGAAAUUCUUGUUGAUGUGGUAGCCACAUAGAAAUCGGGAGAAUUUUUGGGUUCAUUAUCGUCGUAUAUGCUCCUGUGUCGAUGAACGCAAUUGCAUGAACUGGCUUCUCCUUUUGUGAUGGAUCAAAGAUCGUAACUGGCAGAUGUGGUGUUUGAAUUUCUUCUUUUUGCGGCAUACGAGUGAUUUUAAAACAGCUGUCGUUAUUGACUUCUUCUUCUGAAGAGGAGGAGUCGGAUGAGUAGUCAUAAUCCGAGUAGCCACAUAUGGCAUCUUGUUCAUCACUAUCAUAGGAUAAUACUGAUUCUAGAUCGUGGUUGUCGAAAUCGAAGUCUGGUGCGAUCUUCGAGAUUGAGCUGAUUAAGUACUGCUUCUUUUUCUUCGACUUGUUUGGGCAGUUUUUUGCGAAGUGACCUUCUUUGCGACAUAGGAAACACUUCGUUGUUUUCUUGAAGCUUCGUUUCUUUCUGAAAAAUCGCUUGAGUCUGAAUUUGUUGAAACGCUUGUGAGACGUUUUUCUGAAUCUCCGUGAUUUGCUACGAUCAUCACACGAACAUGUCUUCUUGGAUUUUGAACAUUUGAUGGAUAGAUCUGGUCUUGCACAGAUCCUGGAUAGUUGCUUUGAUUUAUCCAUGAAUUCCAUCCAAAACUCCUUUUGCUUGCAGAGUUUGUCUAGUGUUCGGAAGACAUAUUGCUGUAUUUGGCCAAUGGAAAUAUCUUCCACUGUCUGGCUUUGAUCUCUUAUGUAUAGCUUCGUUUGUUGACUGAGGUAGUCAUCAAUCGAAGAAAGAUGUACCUGCUUAAGGUUUGGAUUGUUGAGACCAUUAAGAGCGUAAUAACGUCGCGUCUGUCGCUCAAAAUGCUUAGCUAGGUCUCUUUUCUUCAAUGAGCAGCAUUUCGCAGUAAAGAACUCUUCUUGAAGCUGUUCUUUCAAAUGUGUAGGUGUACCGAUAAAUUCUCUAUGAAUAUCUCCGAGAAGUAGCGGUAUUGUUGUUUGAUAGACUUGCUGCUGUCUGUAUUCACCAAGUGAAUUCCACCAUUCUUUGAGUGCUCCAGAUAGUCGCGCCGUAAACUGUUGAAUUACAAGCUCUAAGGGAGACGUGAUUGCUUCAGAAUUCAUCCAUGCAUGAAAUUCAUCGAGACGAUCAUUCCAUUUUUCGAAAGGAAUGUCAUCAAACGUGAAGACCAUGACUUUAGAGGCAAAUGGUCUUGUUGGUAUUUCUUGCUGCAUGUGAGGCCUGUACUCCAUAUCUUCAUCGCUUGAAUAGAUUUCAUGUAUAUCAGGUUCUCGUUUUAGAGUUGAUGGUUCGCCUCUUUCGUCGCCUAUGGCAAAUUGGUUUGGGAGAGAUUCCUCAUCCGAAGCUGAUUCGGAACUGUUAGAAUUAGUCUCCGAAUAAUGACCGAUAUUUGCAAUUGGUGUUGCAAUUUAUUGAGAAGGCUGUGUUUGCGGCAUCUCCGUGGCUGUUUGAGCAGUAGAAGUCUGUCCAAUAGUAUCCAACAGACUAGCCAUAGAGAAUUCAAUUAUACCAAUUUCUUUUCCUUCUCUUUUUGAAUCUUCCACUGAUUCAUGGCUUGACGAAGAAGUAAGUGUUGGUCGUUUGGUAGGAUUGACCAUAAACUCGGAAUCCUUCUGUCGUCUUGGUUUUGAUUUUGACACCUUUGGCUUGCUAGCUGAGGUCAUGCCAUAUCUUGACGUAAAGGCUUCGUCAGAUGAUAGGAAUCCGGGGGCCGGUGUUUUUGGUCUUUGAUUCGUAUAGCCGGAGAGAAAUCCUGGGGAGUAGGUGCCCUAGUACAUAGGCAUUCCACCAAAAGGAUUGGAAUAAGAACUCGUAGGAUUCUGAUUGUAAAUCAUACUCUCGAGGCUUCUUUGAAGAACUUUUAGCUGGGCUUUGAGGCUGGCUGUCUCUGCUUCUUUAUGACGGAAUUGUGCUGUAUUGACCAUCAUAUUUUGUGCCAUAGCCAUCAUUUCUUGAUGAAGAUUGUUAAGCCGGCCAUGGAUCUCUGUUAUUGAGAUCUGAAGGCUAAUUUGCCUUUUGAUGUAAUUUUCCGUCAGCUGAUCAACCUUGUAAUUUAUUGUUUUGAGGAGUUGAUUUUGAGCGAUGGCAUUCUCAGUUUACCAGUUGAGGACCUUUUCUCCUUGGCUUAGUUGAUCUGGUCCAGAAGAAUUGAUUGCUCGAGUGAGUAUCUUCGGGGCUGUGUGCGAUGUUGUCCUUGGUAAAGUCGCUUGAAGGAGGGAAGUCUUCGGUGUUGAUCAUCAUGAUUUGAUUUUCAUCUUUCUUUUCCGAAUAUUGGACUAUAAAGUCGUAUCGCCCGUUACCUUCACCGAGAGGACCGACGGUGGGAUCUCCUUCUAGAUAUCUUUUGUAGAGUGGAUCCUUUUUCUUUCUUCUCCUUGUGCGAAUCUCGUCAUCAGAUUCGUAUUUGGCUUCUUCACAUGCUGAGCAGGAACAUAUAUCGAAAUAUUGAUGUCCAUCUUCAUCUUUGAAAGGAUAUAGUACCAAUCCGUUUUGUCCAAAAGAGAUUGGUUUAGGAUUUUUCUUUUGUUGGACUAUAGAAUUCCGUUUUGUCAAUUUGGAUAGCAAAUUGAGUGAACAGUUGUUUGCGGAAUGAGGAUGAUCUUGGUUUUUUGAACUUGAUUUCGGUUGUACCAUCAUUUCGUGAAUGAAAGCUGACUUCAGAGGAUUGAAUCGGUGUUUGAACCGCUUGAUGCAGCUUCUCGUAGCUGGUGAUCCAUGAUUCUGGUAGUCGGCGGAGCAGCUCUUCGCGAGAUAUUUGACGAGGAAUCUGGAUGGAGUUUGGUGCUUGAGAUGCUGAAGUGACUUCUAGGUAAAGUGCUUCAUCAGAAGAGGGUAGUACAAGAUCUAAGGCAUGAUCUUGGAUUCGGUAGACUAUCUGAUGAUGAAGGGUCGCCACGACACUUUUCUCUUGCAUAGGAGCUCCGGUGAGCUGAAGUUGGACCUUGAGUGUCUUCAGAAGAUUUGGAUCUUGUAGCGAGACAUUAAAGUUUGGAAACAGUGUCACGAAUACUGUUCCGGCGUUUAAUGUUGUUUGGACUGUUCCGAUGCAAGCUUGUUGGUAGGAUUUCAGUCUUGAAUCGACCAAGGCGAUUCUUGCUAUAACAGGUAGACCUUUUCGAGCAUGUAAGGUCAAACCGAUCCGGACUACACCAAAGUGUAGGUGAGUAUAUCCUUGUUGUUGCCAUAACCUACGAAGGUUCUCCGGUAUGUUGAGCGAGAUGAAUUGCUUCUUCGGUUGCUGGGACUUGACAGGAUGAGAAUUUGCUGGACUGGACAUAUUCCAUGACUUUUCGAUUGGAAGAUGGCUUGAUGAGUUCUCGAACACCUUUAACUGAGAAAGCACUAGGCUUUUUGGCAAAGUAUUCAUAUGGAUUAACAAGAGGGAGUGUGGUUUCGGGUAGCUGAUCUCUAGGGACGUAUUCAAUUUUGUAGAGAGAAUUGAUACUAGAUGAGGAAGAACGGCUUUUUAAUUUUGGUAAAGUGGAAAUUGCAAACGGAGAAUCGAUGGUUGGAGGAUUUGGAUUUGAAAUUGACAUGAUUAAGGGAUCAUUUUCCAGAACAUUCACAACAAUCAUUCAUAAACAAUGAUUCUCUCAAUCAUAACAUGAGUCGAGGCUCUGAUACCAUAAUUCUCUCAAUCAUAACAUGAGACCGCAUAAAUUGGUGGUACGGUUUCUGUUAAAUUUGGAUCGUUUAAACAAAUUACCCAUUAGCUUGACAUAGUAUGCUUAAGACCGCUUAUGACCGUCUAAAACUAAUGUUUUCGCUUAAUAAAAAUUGCUUAAUACCAACAUCUAGGCAAGAAAACAGUCUAUUACCAAAUUAGUUUAAUGGGUCUUACCGUCUUACCAAGGAUUUUCCGGCGGAAUCAGAUCCUCCAAAAUUAAAAACUAUCAGAAAUUUUUGAACAGAUUACAUGAAAAAAAAAAGUAAAAUAAACGAAAUGUCUGUAGCUUGUAGUAACGGUUAGUACUAGUGUCGUCGCUAAGUCAUAUAUUAGGUUCAAGUAUGAUAAUGAGUACAAACUAAGUAAUGCAUUUAUCCAAAAAAGGUUCUUAUACAACGUGGAACAAGUUACAACUAAAUUUCAUUUGUAACCCAAUUAUUAUAGCACGAUCCAACAUAUCUGCAAAGAUCCAACUACUAUAAGAAUAUAUUAACCGUUAUUUUUUUCGUUUGUUUGAUACUAAUCUUGAUCAUUCUUCUUAAAUACUUUCUUCGACCACUAAUCAAGAAACUUUCGGGUACGACUUUGGCUUUAUGGGCCUUGUCCUCUAGGCGAUUUAGAGGGCGGUAGAAAGAUAGGAGGUCGGGCGAUUGGAGGGGGAGGAGGAGCGGCAAGAGGAACGCAAUCCAAACGCAAUAAUAAUAUGUCAUGUCAUUAGUCUCUUUAAACAAUUAAUGUAAUAACCAACACAAUACAACAAUAUAUACAUACAUGCAGGGGCGGAGGGAGAGAGGAAGGUAUGGGGUCACAUGCCCCCUAUUCUUUUUUGUUUUUUAUUAAAUAAACCUUAAGAAAAUUGAUUUAGUAUGAUAUUUAAAUGAAUUUAUAAAAAAGUGCCCCCAAUUAAAAAAAAAUAUGCAUUUUAUUGAAAAUGCCCCCAACAAAAAAAUGUUCUAGAUCCGCCACUGCAUACAUGCAUGACACUGCCGGUUAUUACUGUAUAUGGAUGUUGUGAUCUCAUAUAAAAAAGACGCACAACUCAAUACUGAAGCAUUAGAUCAUCCUACCAUGUAUAGAAAAACAAGAGAACUAGUGUAAAUAAUGCGAGUUAAUACUUACCUUG